AGAGCGCGCGCGAGAGAGUACCUCUUGACAGAAGAGAGUGAAGAUUACCUGGGGCCAAUCCAAAAUCUCUUCAGCUGGUCACUCAGAGCAGGACCAGCCUUCACCUGACUCCCUCUGAGCAUGGUCAGUGUAGUCCUCCGUCCUCCUGUCACAGCAACCCAGGGACCAACACUAAAAGGAUCAACUCCGCUUGGCACUCUCAAGGUGAGUUGCAGAUUCAAAAUGCAUGCCACGGCUCAGAUUUGUGUGUGUUUGCACAUAAUGCCUCUCAUUUUCUUCCAUAAACCAGCCUCUUUCUCUCUGUUCAGCACAUGCGAGUGAAACACAUUCACCGACAGUACAUAGUGAAAA